CUUUUCAAUAACUUCCAGACAGAAAAAAUUGGUAACUUUUUAGUGCGAAGCAGAAGGCAAGUGUCUGGCACUUUACAUCUCAGAAACUUCAGGAGAUAACUGGUAUCUCUACAUGCAGGUGAUUGGAUAAAGAUCAGCUUGGUCAAAGACAAACAACGAUGAGGACAAGGUACCAUCUCCAGUGCAACUUCUGUGAACUUCUGCAAGAAAGGAAUUGGAGUCCUGGCAGAGUGACCAGAAGUGUAACAUUCAGGAAAGGAAAAGCUUGGAGGAAGCCAGAUGACGCAUGCUGUGAUUGCCCAUGAGACUGGAGAAUGAGAAACCUGGAUUGGCUGGACAGGAUGGUGUCAAUUAAGCAUGUGGGAAGAUAUUUCCGGACACUGUCACAGCAUCUGAGGAACCAUAUUCCAGCUGUUCUCAGACUUUCCCAUUUCUGGAAGCCUGCCCCUCCUUCAGCUCCAACCACAAAUGUCCACACAAUAGAAAUCCAGUCAUUCUCCAAGAGGUCAGUCAAAGACUAACUAAAGAUUACCCCCGAAUGUCUCUGUUAUGUUUUCACUCCCAUCUAAGGACCUUUAGAAUCACAAAGUCAGGCAUGAACUCAUUAUCUCAAAGCAACACACCAACAUUUUUGUGAAUUUACCCUGAUAGAAUUGUGUGUUAAAGUCUUUCCCAAAGUUACUAAGGUCUUUAGCUCAGGCAUGUCCAAACUGAAAAUCAGGAUGUAAAAAAAAAUGCAAAAAAAAAAAAUUAAUAAGUCACAAACCCCCCAAAAUAAAGGAAUUAACUGGUUUUCUGUUCUCUUUAAA
rnacentral:lncRNA from 1 species